rnacentral:rRNA from 1 species
CAAAACUGAACAACGGAUCUCUUGGUUCUGGCAUCGAUGAAGAACGCACGAAAUGCGAUAAGUAAUGUGAAUUGCAGAAUUCAGUGAAUCAUCGAAUCUUUGAACGCACAUUGCGCCCGCCAGUAUUCUGGCGGGCAUGCCUGUCCGAGCGUCAUUU